UACGAAGGGGGCGAGCGUUGUUCGGAUUUACUGGGCGUAAAGGGCGCGCAGGCGGCUCAUUUUGUCAGGCGUGAAAGCCCCGGGCUUAACCUGGGAACUGCGUUUGAUACGGAUGGGCUAGAGUUCGGGAGAGGAGAGUGGAAUUCCCAGUGUAGAGGUGAAAUUCGUAGAUAUUGGGAAGAACACCGGUGGCGAAGGCAGGUCUCUGGGCCAAUACUGACGCUGAGGAGCGAAAGCGUGGGGAGCGAACAGG
rnacentral:rRNA from 1 species